CAUUUUACAUCUGAAGAAAUGGAGACUGCGGUUAAGGAACCUGUCUGCAUGUCGCACUGUUAAGAAGCAGCAGGUUUGGGGCCAUGAUUCCCAUUUUUGGGCUCUCCCCUUGAUGCCUUGACUUCAUUGGACAAUGCUGAGAGAGGGGCUCAACCUUGGAGAGUUCAAACUUUCCAGCUCUCUGCUUGGAAUGCUUUUCUUAAUCUUUUUCAGCAGCUUGCAAGAAAAUAAGUCAGGUAAGGGAAGAUAGUCACAAUCUGGAUUCAUCUCUUUGUUUACUCAUUUUGGUUUACAUUCCAAUGGAAUGUAAGGGCAAAGUCCCUCGGCUGCCACAUCCCUACCAUACUUCCAGUGCCUGGCAUGUGAUCGAUGCCCAAGAGGUACAUGUACACUGACAAUAUUCAGAACCAAGAAGAAGGACAGCUCCCGGGAGAGGGCAAGUGUGAGACAACGAGGGAAAGAGCUCUGAGGACCAGGUUGGAACAUUACUUUCCUGGUGCAAGACUGUCCAAAGCUUCCUUUCCUCCUGGCACAGUGAUCAGCAGGAUUUUGGUGGGGAAGAUGGGAGGCUGCUCCAUCUGCCUGUAUCUCUGAGUGACUGCAAUAAACUGUGCUUCUCUACUGACCUGGGAUGGGUUGGAUGGUGAUAAGCGCUCCCCCCUCAUGCAAGAUUCUGCAUCAGUAUGACAAGAAGCAGCAGCUGAUGACUCAGAGGAUGUUAACUGGCUUUAUUAAUCAUAACCACAAACCAGAAGCUGUGUGUUUUCUCCAGGAGUUGAGUGAGAGAUUGCCUUGUCUCCUGCCGCUCCCAUGGUAUAAUCAAGGCAUCAAGCUAAAUUAAAGGAAAUGCCAUCAUCUCAUGACAGCAGGUGCAAAAUUACCCCUAAUUAUGAAUUUGCUAGGUACAACAGUGACUCUGCG
rnacentral:lncRNA from 1 species